GAUGAACGCUAGCGGGAGGCCUAAUACAUGCAAGUCGAACGGUAAGGUCCUUCGGAUACACGAGUGGCGGACGGGUGCGUAACGCGUACGGAAUAUACCUUCAACAGGGAGAUACCUCCGGGAAACUGGAAUUAAUACCCCAUAGUAUUAUAGAUUCGCAUGAAUUUAUGAUUAAAGCUCAGGCGGUUGAAGAUUAUCGUGCGUCUGAUUAGGUAGUUGGUAGGGUAAUGGCCUACCAAGCCGACGAUCAGUAGCUGGUCUGAGAGGAUGAUCAGCCACACUGGAACUGAGACACGGUCCAGACUCCUACGGGAGGCAGCAGUAGGGAAUAUUGGGCAAUGGAGGCAACUCUGACCCAGCCAUCCCGCGUGCAGGAAUAAGGCCCUAUGGGUUGUAAAC
rnacentral:rRNA from 1 species